rnacentral:rRNA from 1 species
GUCUAUAGCCAUACCACCCUGAAUGCGCCCAGUCUCAUCUGAUCUCGAAAGCUAAGCAGGGUCAGGCUUGGUUAGUACUUGGAUGGGAGAAUUUAAAGAGUCUUGUAGAGC